CGACGAUACGCAUGCUCGCGUUCUUUGAAAACGGUUCACGCGUUCGAACCAGAGACUUUGCGACGUGCAUUUUCCUUAACGCGUUCUUGGGCUGACUUCAACGAUUCGAUCGCGUGUUCGAGAUGUCGGUUUCCAUGUUUCGCAGAGUCGAUCAAACGGCGAAAUAAUUGGUUGCACGCCGUUCUUUCCUUUUCACCCAUAAAGCUAACGGUUAGUCCGAAUCGAUUGCAUUUCCGGAGGACGCUUAGGAUCUGGACGACGGUUUCGACGGUCCCGCUCGUGGCCGCAACGGUUUCGGAGCACACCUCUAUCAACUCUGCGAACAACGCCGGAGGAAUCUCGCCUUUCCUCCGGACUCACACCUCGCUCGACCACCAGAACUAUACGCGCCCACUGAAACGAUCGAGAGAAGAGCGUAGGAAAGAAGAAAGAAAAGAGAAGCGGCGGAGAGAGGGAGACGGCCACUUGGAAUUCGGCGCAAAACCGAACACCGUACCUUGGCUUCCAUCUCGUGUUGCGUUCUCUCGAAUGCGCUGUAGUAAUCUCCAAAGUUGGUCAAGCUCAUCAGAAACAUCGCCAUUAUGCUCUCCAUCGGGGACGGCAUGGGAUUGUUUAUCGAAUCGUCUACGCCUUCCGGCGUAUUUGGAUUGUCGAAAGACAGAAAUAUGAUGUAGUACGCUGCAAUGGAAGAAUAUACGAGAAUAUUCGCAGGGAGAGAAAAGAAAAUGGACACGGAAAAGGAAUCGACACGAAAAUAUCGAAGAUGUCGAAACAUCGAACCGGGAAACCGACCUCCGAUCUCACGUGAAAUUACAGAGUAAUGGGACGUGUUUGAUCGGCACGGUAGAACGUGCGUUGGCUCUGUGCCACGGCCUCUAACAAACUGUUUCGUUUCACGGUGAAACAACUUCCAGCGAAACACUUUGUGUGUCAAUGCCGUUGGUUCGCCAAGUCGCGUAACGGGCGAUUAGGUCAUAAGACGAUCUUGUGUCAUCCUCGAUGCUCUCCGCUGACUAAUUUCGUGAGCGGUUAUCGGGGAGAAGUCUCUGUCCGUCUAUCUGUAUCGUUUCGACCAACUAAAAACCGUUACUCCGGUAGCUCUGGUUACCUUGGGAAAAUCCCAUCACGAAAACCAAAUAAAUGGAAACGAAACGUAGCAGGUCGCCCAUGAUCAUUCUGUAGAUCAUCACGACGAAAGGGCCGACUGUCUUGAACCCUCUGCAGAAGAACAAAAAGUACGGUGCAGUGGUCAGCAUGACGACAACCGCUAGCAUAUCCUCGACCCGAUCGGCGCAGUUCAGUCUCAGCAAUGGAAAGGUUAACAAUAUGCAACAGGAGAAGAGGAACAUUACUCGCGACGGUGCAGUCAUCUAAAAACAAUUCGUUUCGUCGACACGAAAGCGUCGAAAGAUCGAGAUGACGCACCGUCUACGAUAAUAAUCAGAGGUUUACCAGAUUUUCGACAAACAUGCCGAGUCCUAGGAAUCUGGCUUCCCUCAGCGCGGCGAGAAUGUAAAGAGUAGCCGCGAUUUCCAUCAGCAGCUCAGCGAUUAUUCGUAUCUUUCCCGAUAAGCUCGUCAGUUCCAUCAGUCUGCACUCUUGAUUCACGUUGCUCCACCUAAUUAUUUCGGGGGAACGCUAAAUCGCGAAACGUGUUCGAAGUACAUCUACGGAACCCGAUGCAACGUACCAAUUGUCAUCGCUGUCGCUGUCGCUGUCGCUGUCGUUGCCAGCGCCGAGCAACGGAACGAUAUUAGGCAGCGAUGUUGUCCUCUCGAAGGAGCUUUCGUCGGUCGUGCUUCUAACGAAUUCCGUCGUUCCGUUCUUU